rnacentral:ncRNA from 1 species
AGAGGGAACCCUGUGAGAAUCCGGGACUGUCCCGCAGCGGUAUGCAGGAACGACCGCCGUCUUUUGGCACUGGUCCCCGCGACUGGGAAGCGACGGCCAUUAGGAGCACCGACCGGUGCGCGCCUGCGAGUCCGAAGACCU